UCUUUAGUUAUGAAUUUAUGUUUUCAUAUCGGAUUCCCACUUGGUUGAUUAUUGGGUUUUCUGGGUUCUGAUUGUUUUAACUUUUUUAUAUUCAAUUUGUUGUGAGAAGUCGAGCUCAAGAAGCAAAUCCCAGUAUCUUUCCAAUUGUUGAAUAAAACUGGUAAUCAUAUUACUUUCAAGGUAGCCAAUCCCCCUUCUCUUCUGUUAUUACCUUUUCAUGCACAUAAAUGUACAAAGUAUCAUAUUGAUUUAGGAACUGUGGUUAUGUUGUUAGUAGCUAUAACACUAAAGAAAAGUGGUAACAUUACUGUUAUUGAAACUCUUAGUGAAAAAUACUAGGGGAAGGAAAGCAAUUAAUUAACCUGGGAUGCUGUGAUAAAAAUGGGAUAUGAACACAUAGAAUGUAACUAAGCUUAGUGGAAUUGCUAUGCAGGAUUAAUGUAACCGACCCGAUUGAAUACUCAGGCCGCUACUACCUAAAUUGGUGGUGACCUUUCCUCAGUAAUCCAAGAAAAAUGUCGUAACAUUGUCCCCCGGGGAACUAGAUCUUACUCUCAAGAAGCUGUAGGAUCGAGAGCAACAAUGGCAGCCCCUUUCUUGCUUAGUAUCUCCUCCUUGACUGGGAAAUGAGGCUAGUUUUGGUUUGGCUGUGUUAGAUUAUGUUGUUUGUGUUUUGUUAGCAACCAUAGGAAUUUGUUUUGAUUUUGAUUGGUUUUAGGUACUUUCUUAAUUAUUGUCUUAAUUGUUUGCAAAUACAAAUUGCUGGUUAUCAGGUGAACGCAACCAAUCCCAAGAAGUACUCUGUCUGACCUAAUAAUGCCGUCAUUCUUCCUCGUUCAACCUGCAAUGUCAUUAGUAUCAUCUCUGCUAUAUCUCUCUCUGCAUUGUUACAUGCUUUUUUUUUAGAACCAUUUUGAUUCUUAUCACUAACUUGUAAUAAUUGGAUUUGAGUAACAAUGCAGAGAUGCAAUGCAAGGACAGGUUUCUUGUCCAGAGUGUGGUUGCUCGACCUGGUGCUACGCCAAAGGAUAUUAACCCGGAUAUGUUAACAAGGAGGCGGGUAAUCAUGUUGAAGAUUGCAAAUUGAGAGUUGUUUAUGUUUCUCCACCUAAACCACCAUCUCCGGUUCCUGAAGAAUCCGAGGAAGGGUCUUCACCUAGGGCUUCUUAAUCCGAAAAUGGACAUUUUAAUGGUUCUGAACUAGCUGUUUUUGUACAGCAUUUGUUCAUAGCAAAUGACUGAGAUACAUCGCGUAGUUUCGGGAGAACGUGUUGAGGUUCAGGACAAUUCCACCGAGGCA